CCCUUCUCAGGGUCGCACCUGGAGAGUUUCCAGUACUCUACCAAUCUAGGCUUUGGGCUGGAGAGUCAAGCAGAGGCCUACCCAUUCCAUUCCUAGCUUAGGCAGUGGCUAGCGAGUGGAAGGCAAUCUGCUACAAGU